GUUAAGAAUCUUGCGCAAUGGGGGGAACCCUGACGCAGCGACGCCGCGUGGAUGAUGAAGGCCUUCGGGUUGUAAAGUCCGGUAAGCAGGGAAGAAUAAGUGUGGGGUAAUAUUCCACAUGAUGACGGUACCUGCCUAAAGCCCCGGCUAACUACGUGCCAGCAGCCGCGGUAAUACGUAUGGGGCAAGCGUUGUUCGGAAUUAUUGGGCGUAAAGGGCGUCUAGGCGGGGGAUUAAGUUAGAUGUGAAAGCUAUGGGCUCAACCCAUAAAUUGCAUCUAAGACUGGUUCUCUUGAGUCCGGGAGAGGAGAGCGGAAUUCCAGGUGUAGCGGUGAAAUGCGUAGAUAUCUGGAAGAACACCAGUGGCGAAGGCGGCUCUCUGGCCUAGGACUGACGCUGAAGCGCGAAAGCGUGGGGAGCGAACAGGAUUAGAAACCCGGGUAGUCC
rnacentral:rRNA from 1 species